AUACAGUAAAUUAUUAACAUAAAUUACCUAUUAAGUUAUGUAUUACCUUUUGAACUGUGUACUUUAACUUGCUAUGCCUUUAAGGACAUAAUUAUAUAAAAGGGUGUUCUAGACUUCCAAAAAUAUGUUCUGGUCAAAAUCAACUUUAUUAAUGAUGACUUGAAUAUUUACACAAUAGAAAGAAAAUGAACAUGAUGCAAUCUAACAAGAUGAAAAUAAAGAGCUGAAUGUAGCCAUAGAUAUUUUUAACUGCUUUUAUAAUUUUAUAUAUAUCAUACGGAUUUCUAUAUUUCUAAUGGAAUGUACGGAGUGUCUAAUGGGACAAAACUUUUCCAUUCCACCGAGAAAUUUUUUGUAUGCAAACAUGCAACCGGUGACGCAAACAAUAUGAGAUGAUGGAUCAAAACAGACAGUUGGCGAUGGAUUCACAGAGGGAAGUCUCAGGUUUCGCUUCAGAAGACAUUGAGGGACCGUCAAAGUUAAGGGUCCCAUCCACUUAUAUGGACUCAGAGAAGGACGUGAGAAGGCAUGAGGGUGAGUAAAUGAUGAAAUAAUUUACAUUUUUGCUGGGAGUAUCCCUUUAACCCUGCAGAUACACUGUUAUCAGGUCUUACAAAGUUACCAUUGAAAAGGUAAAUUCAUGUUCCUCCCA
ensembl:lncRNA